rnacentral:misc_RNA from 1 species
AACGCACCUUGCGCUUCUUGGUAUCCACUCCAAGGAGCAUGUCUGUUUGAGUGUCAUGAAAUUCUCAAAUUUCAUUCUUGACUUUGACGAGUUCGGAUUGAAUUUUGGAUUGUGGAAGUUGCCGGCUUGAAAGGUCUGCUCUUCUCAAAUAAAUUAGCAAAGAGUUUUGAUUUGGUGCUCUUUUGGUAUAAUAAAAUUCUUGUACCAGUUUGAAAUCCAAUUUUCUUUCAAGAAAUGAAACUUGUGCUUCCAAUAGUCUGUUUAAGACAAAACUGACAAUUUGACCUCAAAUCAGAUAAGACUACCCGCUGAACUUAA